GCGGCGGGUCGCGUGGCAUGGUGCGGGCGGGGAGAGCCGAGCCUCAGCCCAGCCGCCGCAUGGCCGGGGCAGCCUCCUCCCGGGUGUCUGGUUUCUGCCGGCGGAGCAAUGGGGAAGGAGCCGGGGUGUGCUGCCACGUUGGAGCUACUUGCCUUCCCAGAGAAAGUUUCUAAUCACCUCAGUGCUGAUAUUUUUAAUUGUGUACAAUGUCCUCUCCACCAAGGAUCCCCUCGCACAGCCUUUUCCAAGGUCACUUCCUGACUGUGGCUCUGCAGGUGCCACAGGUGUAGCAAAUUCCUUUACCUACCUCUAAAACUUCUUCUCUGAGGUGAAGAAUGACAGAAGAAAAAGACAAGAUACACAAAACUGACAAGGAAUUUGUCUGAUGGUCAGAAUAUGAAGAAAACAACUCAAGAAGCAUUUUCAUAUUUGCAGCCCUGAGUUCAAAAUACACAGCUGGUGUUGCCAGGAGGUAGCACGCCUCACACUCAGUUGCUUUCUCUGAAAGCAAUAUAUCUUCAGACAUGAUUUCUCUCUGCCUCAUCUUUCUGAAUCUUUGUUGCUGUUCAGCCUCUGCAGCACUAACCUUCAUCUCAGAUAAGGGCUGAAACUCAUGCUAAGGCAGCUGGUGCUGCUGAGGGCUGGACACAGUUCACCUCCUCUACUGUUUGCAGUACCACUGUAGCAGCACAACUCUGGCUAAAACUCGGAGUUUUCACUUUGCUUGUUUAUAUAGUUCUUGAGCCAAUGAUGUUGGAGGAUCCUUUCUCUCCUGCCUGUCCUGUUACACAGUUGGCUGCGUGACACUGAUGGCGCUGGUGGGGCUGCUAGGUUUUGCCACAGGGGUGAUUUGCUUUGGGUGAGAGGAUUUGAGAAACUCUUGUCGUUCAGCAACCUGACAGAUGCAACUUAAUGCUCUGCUGUUAAAAAUGCCACCUGGAUGCAACCUGAGUCAGUGAUGAAGGUCUAUGGGAAACUAGAAAAAAAUCCAUGAUUUAGAGACAGUGGCAAAGAAAUGGCAGGAACCCAUUCUUCAAGGCCUGCUGCGGUCACCCUGUUGAAGGGCCAUUGUAUGUUCUGUUUGUUUGCUUGCUUCAUUAUAGUUCCGAUGUAUUUAGUGUAGCAAGUAAUCUGGAGGCUAAGCCUUCUGAUUGCAAUGCAUUGUUGAUUGUAGUAAGCUGUACCCUCACUAUAUGCAACACAAAUUAUGUAUAAGACUUCCUAAUUACUGUUUUCCCCCCUUAGUGCUCCUGUGCUAGUACUUACAGGUUUGCUGUAGGUAUAAACCAGACCGGUAAGGGGACCGCUGGCAACCCAUGACAUGAACAGCGAUGUCAUUGUGGGAAUUGCAUUAACAUAAAUCAGUUCAAAGACUAUGGAAAAAUAACUCACUUCUUCAGUCUUCCCUUACAGUCUCCCGAUGGCUGAC